GAUGAACGCUAGCGGCAGGCCUAACACAUGCAAGUCGAGGGAGAAGCCCUUUCGGGGGCCGAAACCGGCGCACGGGUGCGUAACGCGUAUGCAACCUACCUUUCACAGGGGGAUAGCCCGAAGAAAUUUGGAUUAAUACCCCAUAAUAUUAUUGGAUGGCAUCAUUUGAUAAUUAAAACUGCGGUGGUGAAAGAUGGGCAUGCGUCCUAUUAGCUAGUUGGAGUGGUAACGGCACCCCAAGGCUACGAUAGGUAGGGGUCCUGAGAGGGAGAUCCCCCACACUGGUACUGAGACAGGGACCAGACUCCUACGGGAGGCAGCAGUGAGGAAUAUUGGUCAAUGGUCGGAAGACUGAACCAGCCAUGCCGCGUGCAGGAAGAAUGCCUUAUGGGUUGUAAACUGCUUUUAUAUGGAAAGAAUAAGGCGUACGUGUACGUUGAUGACGGUACCAUAUGAAUAAGCAUCGGCUAACUCCGUG
rnacentral:rRNA from 1 species